rnacentral:lncRNA from 1 species
CAAGGCAAAACAUGAAGGAUAAUGUUAAAACAUGCACACAUCUUGGUAACUAUUAGUAAUGGGCCUAACUCAACACCCAAAAGCUAGCUCAAGGGAGGAGGUUUGCCUCAUACUAUAUAUAUUGCCCAAGGAUUUUAUUUCUUUCCGAUGUGGGACUCUAACACACCCCCCUCACGCUCAGGACUGGACAUCUGAAGCGUGAAGUUUGUGGGACUGGACAUCCACGGAUGGUAGCCCACUUUCAAGAAAGUUGAACCUUGGCCCUGAUACCAUAUUAGUAAUGGGCCUAACUCAACACCCAAAAGCUAGCUCAAGGGAGGAGGUUUGCCUCAUACUAUAUAUAUUGCCCAAGGAUUUUAUUUCUUUCCGAUGUGGGACUCUAACAAUAACGUUGGAUAUAUAUUUUUCCUGAAUUCUCACCUG